AUGGGAGCUUGCUCCCUGAUGUUAGCGGCGGACGGGUGAGUAACACGUGGGUAACCUGCCUGUAAGACUGGGAUAACUCCGGGAAACCGGGGCUAAUACCGGAUGCUUGUUUGAACCGCAUGGUUCAAACAUAAAAGGUGGCUUCGGCUACCACUUACAGAUGGACCCGCGGCGCAUUAGCUAGUUGGUGAGGUAACGGCUCACCAAGGCGACGAUGCGUAGCCGACCUGAGAGGGUGAUCGGCCACACUGGGACUGAGACACGGCCCAGACUCCUACGGGAGGCAGCAGUAGGGAAUCUUCCGCAAUGGACGAAAGUCUGACGGAGCAACGCCGCGUGAGUGAUGAAGGUUUUCGGAUCGUAAAGCUCUGUUGUUAGGGAAGAACAAGUGCCGUUCAAAUAGGGCGGCACCUUGACGGUACCUAACCAGAAAGCCACGGCUAACUACGUGCCAGCAGCCGCGGUAAUACGUAGGUGGCAAGCGUUGUCCGGAAUUAUUGGGCGUAAAGGGCUCGCAGGCGGUUUCUUAAGUCUGAUGUGAAAGCCCCCGGCUCAACCGGGGAGGGUCAUUGGAAACUGGGGAACUUGAGUGCAGAAGAGGAGAGUGGAAUUCCACGUGUAGCGGUGAAAUGCGUAGAGAUGUGGAGGAACACCAGUGGCGAAGGCGACUCUCUGGUCUGUAACUGACGCUGAGGAGCGAAAGCGUGGGGGAGCGAACAGGAUUAGAUACCCUGGUAGUCCACGCCGUAAACGAUGAGUGCUAAGUGUUAGGGGGUUUCCGCCCCUUAGUGCUGCAGCUAACGCAUUAAGCACUCCGCCUGGGGAGUACGGUCGCAAGACUGAAACUCAAAGGAAUUGACGGGGGCCCGCACAAGCGGUGGAGCAUGUGGUUUAAUUCGAAGCAACGCGAAGAACCUUACCAGGUCUUGACAUCCUCUGACAAUCCUAGAGAUAGGACGUCCCCUUCGGGGGCAGAGUGACAGGUGGUGCAUGGUUGUCGUCAGCUCGUGUCGUGAGAUGUUGGGUUAAGUCCCGCAACGAGCGCAACCCUUGAUCUUAGUUGCCAGCAUUCAGUUGGGCACUCUAAGGUGACUGCCGGUGACAAACCGGAGGAAGGUGGGGAUGACGUCAAAUCAUCAUGCCCCUUAUGACCUGGGCUACACACGUGCUACAAUGGGCAGAACAAAGGGCAGCGAAACCGCGAGGUUAAGCCAAUCCCACAAAUCUGUUCUCAGUUCGGAUCGCAGUCUGCAACUCGACUGCGUGAAGCUGGAAUCGCUAGUAAUCGCG
rnacentral:rRNA from 1 species